rnacentral:rRNA from 1 species
AUGAACGCUGGCGGCGUGCUUCACACAUGCCAGUCGAACGCAGCACUUAAGAUUGAUUCUUCGGAUGACGUCUUUUGUGACUUAGUGGCGGACGGGUGAGUAACGCGUGGGUAACCUGCCUCACACAGGGGGAUAACAGUUAGAAAUGACUGCUAAUACCGCAUAACCUGAUAGGAUCGCAUGAUCCAGACGGAAAAGAUUUAUCGGUGUGAGAUGGACCCGCGUCUGAUUAGCUAGUUGGUGAGGUAACGGCCCACCAAGGCGACGAUCAGUAGCCGGCCUGAGAGGGUGAACGGCCACAUUGGGACUGAGACACGGCCCAAACUCCUACGGGAGGCAGCAGUGGGGAAUAUUGCACAAUGGGGGAAACCCUGAUGCAGCGACGCCGCGUGAGUGAAGAAGUAUUUCGGUAUGUAAAGCUCUAUCAGCAGGGAAGAAAAUGACGGUACCUGACGAAGAAGCCCCGGCUAACUACGUG